rnacentral:lncRNA from 1 species
CCCUUCGAGAGGGGGUGGCGUGCAUCUCUACUAAGAAGGUUCACAAAUUAUAUGCCACUAAACACCCCUCGAACAUAGGUGUUGAUGGAAAUAAGGGAUUGACUCCUUAGAGCGAGAAGAAUGCAGAUCAAGCUAGGUUAGCACGAUUCGAAUAAAUAUUUACUACCAUCGUGACCAUGGCCAUGAUACAGAAGACUGCAUCGAACUCUAAGAUUAGAUCAAGGAGCUAAUCCGAUGUAGAUGUCUGGAUCGAUUCAUCAGACAUCGACAUGAACAACAGGAAGAAUAAUAAAGGUCACCUCGACCAUCAGAACAAUAGCAAAGAUAGCCCCCCAA